rnacentral:rRNA from 1 species
UACGUAGGGUGCAAGCCGUUGUCCGGAAUUAUUGGGCGUAAAGAGCUCGUAGGCGGUCUGUCGCGUCUGCUGUGAAAACUCAGGGCUUAACCCUGAGCUUGCAGUGGGUACGGGCAGACUAGAGUGCGGUAGGGGAGACUGGAAUUCCUGGUGUAGCGGUGAAAUGCGCAGAUAUCAGGAGGAACACCGAUGGCGAAGGCAGGUCUCUGGGCCACUACUGACGUGAGAA